GCUAGCACUCUCCUCUCAUCUUCUCUUUCCAGUGAUGGCAUUCUCCCUCCAUAUUCGGCGAUGCUUUCUUCCUGAUGAUGAGAUUCGAUCUAUUGGCCUUGUUCAAAAUCUAUGAAGUCACUCAUUAACUCUUGUGUAGACCUUACAAAUGGACUGUGGUCACUUGUUCUCCUGAUCCUUUCGUCGCAUCCUUGCUUACAAACAAUAUGGCAGGGAGGGUGGCUUGAACUAUGUUGCCUCUUCAAGAACCUGAAGAUCUCUCAAAUGCUCUCAAGAAUUGUUAUUUAAGAACUUUUUAUUGAUAGAAUCUCUUCUAGAAUUCAAAGAAUUUAUAGGAUAAUAUUUUUUGUAUGGUGAAUUCUCAAGUGAUUGAUAUCUUUUCAAUUUU